rnacentral:rRNA from 1 species
UACGAAGGGGGCUAGCGUUGCUCGGAAUCACUGGGCGUAAAGCGCACGUAGGCGGAUUGUUAAGUCAGGGGUGAAAUCCUGGAGCUCAACUCCAGAACUGCCUUUGAUACUGGCGAUCUUGAGUCCGGGAGAGGUGAGUGGAACUGCGAGUGUAGAGGUGAAAUUCGUAGAUAUUCGGAAGAACACCAGUGGCGAAGGCGACUCACUGGACACAUAUUGACGCUGAGGUGCGAAAGCGUGGGGAGCAAACAGG